AGCUACAGGCUUAACACAUGCAAGUCGAGGGGCAGCAUGGUCUUAGCUUGCUAAGGCCGAUGGCGACCGGCGCACGGGUGAGUAACGCGUAUCCAACCUGCCUUACACUCUUGGACAGCCUUCUGAAAGGGAGAUUAAUACAAGAUGUUAUCAUGAGUAAGCAUUUUCGCAUGAUUAAAGGUUUACCGGUGUAAGAUGGGGAUGCGUUCCAUUAGAUAGUAGGCGGGGUAACGGCCCACCUAGUCUUCGAUGGAUAGGGGUUCUGAGAGGAAGGUCCCCCACAUUGGAACUGAGACACGGUCCAAACUCCUACGGGAGGCAGCAGUGAGGAAUAUUAGUCAAUGGACGAGAGUCUGAACCAGCCAAGUAGCGUGAAGGAUGAAGGUUCUAUGGAUUGUAAACUUCUUUUAUACGGGAAUAAACGAAUCCACGUGUGGAUUUUUGCAUGUACCGUAUGAAUAAGGAUCGGCUAACUCCGUGCCAGCAGCCGCGGUAAUACGGAGGAUCCGAGCGUUAUCCGGAUUUAUUGGGUUUAAAGGGAGCGUAGAUGGGUUGUUAAGUCAGUUGUGAAAGUUUGCGGCUCAACCGUAAAAUUGCAAUUGAUACUGGCAGUCUUGAGUACAGUUGAGGUAGGCGGAAUUCGUGGUGUAGCGGUGAAAUGCUUAGAUAUCACGAAGAACUCCGAUUGCGAAGGCAGCUUACUAACCUGUAACUGACAUUGAUGCUCGAAAGUGUGGGUAUCAAACAGGAUUAGAUACCCUGGUAGUCCACACGGUAAACGAUGAAUACUCGCUGUAGGCGAUAUACAGUCUGCGGCCAAGCGAAAGCAUUAAGUAUUCCACCUGGGGAGUACGCCGGCAACGGUGAAACUCAAAGGAAUUGACGGGGGCCCGCACAAGCGGAGGAACAUGUGGUUUAAUUCGAUGAUACGCGAGGAACCUUACCCGGGCUUAAAUUGCAACCGAAUAUGGCGGAAACGCUAUAGCUAGCAAUAGCGGUUGUGAAGGUGCUGCAUGGUUGUCGUCAGCUCGUGCCGUGAGGUGUCGGCUUAAGUGCCAUAACGAGCGCAACCCUUGCCGAUAGUUACUAACAGGUUAUGCUGAGGACUCUGUCGGGACUGCCAUCGUAAGAUGUGAGGAAGGUGGGGAUGACGUCAAAUCAGCACGGCCCUUACGUCCGGGGCUACACACGUGUUACAAUGGGGGGUACAGAGGGCUGCUACCACGCAAGUGGAUGCCAAUCCCAAAAACCUCUCUCAGUUCGGAUUGAAGUCUGCAACCCGACUUCAUGAAGCUGGAUUCGCUAGUAAUCGCGCAUCAGCCACGGCGCGGUGAAUACGUUCCCGGGCCUUGUACACACCGCCCGUCAAGCCAUGGGAGCCGGGGGUACCUGAAGUGCGUAACCGCAAGGAGCGCCCUAGGGUAAAACUGGUGACUGGGGCU
rnacentral:rRNA from 1 species